GGANUGCGAAUGGCCUACGGCUGACGCAGCGACGCCGCGUGUGGGAUGAAGCUCCUCGGAGUGUAAACCACUGUUGCCCGGGACGAAUAGCUCGAUUCAUCGAGCCUGACGGUACCGGGUGAGGAAGCACCGGCUAACUCCGUGCCAGCAGCCGCGGUAAUACGGGGGGUGCGAGCGUUGUCCGGAAUCACUGGGCGUAAAGGGCGCGUAGGUGGUUUGAUAAGGGUGUGGUGAAAGCCCGGGGCUCAACCCCGGGUCUGCCGUGCCGACUGUUGAACUCGAGGGCUGUAGAGGCAGACGGAAUUCCGGGUGUAGCGGUGGAAUGCGUAGAGAUCCGGAGGAAGACCGGUGGCGAAGGCGGUCUGCUGGGCAGUUUCUGACACUGAUGCGCGACAGCGUGGGGAGCAAACAGGAUUAGAUACCCUGGUAGUCCACGCCGUAAACGAUGGGUACUAGGUGCCUGGGGGAGCGACCCUCUGGGUGCCGGCGCUAACGCAGGAAGUACCCCGCCUGGGGAGUACGACCGCAAGGUUGAAACUCAAAAGAAUUGACGGA
rnacentral:rRNA from 1 species